rnacentral:rRNA from 1 species
UACGUAGGGGGCAAGCGUUAUCCGGAUUUACUGGGUGUAAAGGGAGCGUAGACGGUAUGGUAAGUCAGAUGUGAAAGCCCGGAGCUCAACUCCGGGACUGCAUUUGAAACUAUCAGACUAGAGUGCAGGAGAGGUAAGUGGAAUUCCUAGUGUAGCGGUGAAAUGCGUAGAUAUUAGGAGGAACACCAGUGGCGAAGGCGGCUUACUGGACUGUAACUGACGUUGAGGCUCGAAAGCGUGGGGAGCAAAC